UGGGGUGUAGCCAAGCGGUAAGGCAACGGGUUCUGGUCCCGUCAUCCUAGGUUCGAAUCCUAGCACCCCAG
rfam:Candidatus Doudnabacteria bacterium RIFCSPHIGHO2_01_FTLL_43_23 rifcsphigho2_01_scaffold_25178, whole genome shotgun sequence.